rnacentral:rRNA from 1 species
UACGUAGGGUGCGAGCGUUGUCCGGAAUUAUUGGGCGUAAAGAGCUCGUAGGCGGUGUGUCGCGUCGGCCGUGAAAACCUGCAGCUUAACUGUGGGCUUGCGGUCGAUACGGGCAUCACUGGAGUUCGGCAGGGGAGACUGGAAUUCCUGGUGUAGCGGUGAAAUGCGCAGAUAUCAGGAGGAACACCGGUGGCGAAGGCGGGUCUCUGGGCCGAUACUGACGCUGAGUGAGCGAAAGCCAGGGGAGCAAACGGG